AUUCUACCUAAUACUGGCACCGAUAUAGGUACUGAUAUUCUAGUAAGUAUUUGUACUGCUACGGGCAAUUUUUUUCUAUCUAGAAUUGGUAUUAGAAUUAGUAUUCUGGCCAACAUUGUUAUUGGUAUUGCGGCUAGUGUCUAUGUCAGUAUUCUGGCCAACAGUGGGAUUAGGAUUUUAGCCAACAAUGGUAUCAAUUUUUUUUUUGGCCAUCAUGAGCAUCUAUUGAUCGUGGAGGUGGUGGUGGCAUUGGUGGCAGC
rnacentral:lncRNA from 1 species